CCCUAUGGGGUGCAGCAGGCAGGCGCACCGGGUCCUGUAUCUGGCAAGCGAGCUUGCCAAGGCAGUCAACGCCUUCUACCAGAAGGAGAAGGUAUUGCAGGAAGACCAGGACGUUGCCAGGUCCCGCAUGUUGCUCGUACGGGCAUCGCAGCAGGUACUGCUGGCAUACGCCCAGAUACUCGGCAUUCAUCUUCCUGACACCAUGUAGUGCGCCGGGCACUGCAACGAGUGAGGUUCCAACUAUGAAAGACGUACGCAAAGCGCGACUGGAAUCCUUUAUCCGCAGGAGCGUCGAGGCGGAACUGGUUCUCAUGGACGACCCCGACUUGCGUCUCCUGACAGUGACGCGCAUAGAGCUGUCCAAUGACACGAGACUUGCAAAGGUGUUCGUUUCGAGC
rnacentral:rRNA from 1 species